AUUGAACGCUGGCGGAAUGCUUUACACACGCAAGUCGAGCGGCAGCGCGGCCUUCGGGCUGGCGGCGAGCGGCGAACGGGUGAGUAAUGCAUCGGAACAUGCCCAGUCGUGGGGGAUAACACUUCGAAAGAAGUGCUAAUACCGCAUACGUCCUGAGGGGGAAAGCGGGGGAUCGCAAGACCUCGCGCGAUUGGAGUGGCCGAUGUCAGAUUAGCUAGUUGGUGGGGUAAAGGCCUACCAAGGCGACGAUCUGUAGCUGGUCUGAGAGGAUGAUCAGCCACACUGGGACUGAGACACGGCCCAGACUCCUACGGGAGGCAGCAGUGGGGAAUUUUGGACAAAGGGGGCAACCCUGAUCCAGCCAUUCCGCGUGAGUGAAGAAGGCCUUCGGGUUGUAAAGCUCUUUCGGCAGGAACGAAACGGUGGGCUCUAACAUAGUCCGCUAAUGACGGUACCUGAAGAAGAAGCACCGGCUAACUACGUG
rnacentral:rRNA from 1 species